rnacentral:rRNA from 1 species
CACUGCUAUCGGGGUUCGAUUAAGCCAUGCGAGUCGAGAGGGUUCAGACCCUCGGCGCACUGCUCAGUAACACGUGGAUAACCUACCCUGAGGAGGGGGAUAACCCCGGGAAACUGGGGAUAAUACCUCAUAGGUUUCAGAUGCUGGAAUGCUCUGAAACCGAAAUGCUCCGGCGCCUCAGGAUGGAUCUGCGGCCGAUUAGGUUGUUGUUGGGGUAACGGCCCAACAAGCCCGUCAUCGGUACGGGUUGUGAGAGCAAGAGCCCGGAGAUGGAUUCUGAGACACCAAUCCAGGCCCUACGGGGCGCAGCAGGCGCGAAACCUUUACAAUGCGAGCAAUCGUGAUAAGGGAACCCCGAGUGCCUGAAACCAGGCUGUUCAGGUGUUUAAAAAGCACCUGGAGAAAGGGCCGGGCAAGACCGGUGCCAGCCGCCGCGGUAAUACCGGCGGCUCGAGUGGUGGCCGCUAUUAUUGGGCUUAAAGCGUUCGUAGCUGGGUUGUUAAGUCUCUUGGGAAAUCUCACGGCUCAACCGUGAGGCGACUAAGAGAUACUGGCAAUCUUGGGACC